rnacentral:snRNA from 1 species
CCUCAUAGAGAAGAUUAGAGU